CCCCAAAAGGAGCUGGCUGCCCCUCAGGAGGCUGGAGACAUGGGGGACCAGCCCUGCCCACUGGGCAGCAGGGAUCCAAAAAGCCACCUCCGCAAGGUGCUGAAGGAGCUGUCGCUGCUCAGGCUGUUGAAGCGCACGAACCGCAGGAUCCUGCGGCUGCACGCCGUGGCCGUGCAGUGCUGGCACUCGCUCACGGCACAGAGGCUGCCCGGCCUCCUGCCGGUCCCUCCCAGGUAGGUCGGGGGGCAGAGGGGCCCCGCACCCCCAGCCCUGCUUGUCUGCCACGCGAAGGCACAAAUUUGGAGGGGUGAGGAUGACCUAAAGGGGGAUAAACCGCAGGGAUGUGAAUCAGAGGUGGGUUUGGGCUGGUCUGGGAGGGUGCCAGAUUCAGCCGUACCGAAGGUUUCUGGGCUCAGGGCCAGCUACUGCAGCCCAUGGUGGCUCAGGCCACUGCAGCCCAUGGUGGCCUGGCACAGGCACGUCCCUGUGCUCCAGAGCCUCUCCCUCCGUGCUCCCUCCCUGCGCGCUGUUUGAUGGGGCCGCGCUGAGCCAUGCCCUGGUGCUGGCUGGGCUGCCCAGGGCAGGACAAAUGCGCCCUUCUUCUUCUUGGAUUUGGGCGCAGGAUGUGCCACGUCACACCAAAGCCACAGGAGGUCACGGAGGAGGCCGUCGGCAGCCCGGCGACCGACGCCACCAGCAGCAAGGACCCCGAGACGGGGACCCCGCUGGGGGACCCCCAGCCGCUCGCCAAGAACUGGGGGGCUGGCGAGGCCAAGAAGGACAUGCUGGGGACCCUGCCCCAGCGCUUCCACUUGCCAGCCCCCAAAGUGCUCUGCCGGCCGUCGGCCCAGCGCUGGGUCAAACCCUGCUGCACCCGCUCCUGCGGCGAGAGCCUGGAGCAGGUGCUCACCAUCCGCUACCCACAGUGAGGGCGAGGCGCCGCUGCCGUCGGGCUGCCGGAGGUUCGGGGCUGGGAGGAGCAGGAGGUGAGCUUCCAAGAGGAGGUCUGUGGGGCGAUGCACCGAGCCAUUGUGCUGUGAAUAAAGGGAGCGAGCUGUGUCUCCUGACCCAGACGUUCUGCCCGAGAGUUGUGUUUGGUUCGGCGUCCCGCUGUGUUUGCAGGUCGGUGGGUUCCACUUGCUUUGGAUUCGAGGGGCUGAAGAUGUCGGGGGUGAUGCCUGCGUACAGAGGGGCUGGAAAUCUUUCCUCCAUGCACCCCAUCACCAGGCACCAGGGAAAGCUAUGCCCCUGCUGGGCUCGGGGACCAGCAGUCCCCAGGAUGCCUGGCCAGGGUCAGGAGCCUUACACAGGCAGAGUUAGCAGCUGCAGGGCUCCGCUCCCCUGGGUUUCCUUCAGGGGAGCACGGCACCAUUUUCCCACCAGCCUCGCAGGUAAACACCCAACCAUCCCCAUCCCUCCAGCCUGGAAAAGGAGAGAAAACUGUCGCCCAUCUCCUACGCGAGGAGGUGGUGGGCUGAUCCACCAGCAGGAUUAAUGGGCCACUGGUGUGGCAGAGCUGUCAGCAGGCUGUGAGCUGGGACGUGCCCAGCCCCCAGAGCGAUGUCACCAAAGCCACCUUCUGCUCCCAUUUCGGCUGGAGUAAAGGAAAGUGGCUCGCUGGCCAAGAGCCAGGGCCGGGCUGUAAGGAUGCAAAAUGCCGUACGGUCCCCUUCAGGGUAUUGCAGCGAUGGGAAUUGCCGGUGCCAGGAUCAACAGAGAAAGUUUUAUAGCUGUAGGUGCUAAAGUUUAAGGCUUUGAACCCACACACACUCAGGCCUUUGUUCAACGUUUGGCCUUGGUUUACCCUGCGAAAUUACAAGUGGCUGCCGGGCCCGGGGGCGAGCACAGAAAGCAAAAAGCGUGGAGCAGGAGCACGAGGAGGGAGCACGGCCCCGCGGCACCCCGUGUCCUGCCCGGAUUGCUGCUGCUGGGGGGCAGCGGGGUCCUCACGCCCUGAGGCCAAGGGCCGGGAGCUGCAGCUCCGGGGGGCACGGGGCAGGGGGGGGCUCUCGGGGCUUCCUCGGCAGCGAGGGGGGCGAGCCCGGCACGGGGCGCUCGGAGCGCACGGGUCGGGUGUGCGGAGCGUGGCUGGGGAGGGAU
ensembl:lncRNA